UUCAGUAAAAGCCAACAGUGGAUUGGCAGGCAGGCUUUUUUAAGCUCAGUAUAUUCUUUCUUCCACAUUGUGCUCACCUUUUCUCCCAAAGCCCAGCAAACAUUUGAAAUGAUUAUGCAUUCAAGAAUCGUGUAUUUGCUUGUCCACUGAUCUGGUAACUCCACAGCAGCAGAAUUGUUGCUAAUAUCCAGUGUGUCCACCCAGUUAAUGUGACAUGUCGUGGUCUUCCAGCCAUUGCAUUAUUGGA